rnacentral:rRNA from 1 species
GACGAACGCUGGCGGCGUGCUUAACACAUGCAAGUCGAACGGAAAGGCCCUGCUUUUGUGGGGUGCUCGAGUGGCGAACGGGUGAGUAACACGUGAGUAACCUGCCCUUGACUUUGGGAUAACUUCAGGAAACUGGGGCUAAUACCGGAUAGGAGCUCCUGCUGCAUGGUGGGGGUUGGAAAGUUUCGGCGGUUGGGGAUGGACUCGCGGCUUAUCAGCUUGUUGGUGGGGUAGUGGCUUACCCAGGCUUUGACGGGUAGCCGGCCUGAGAGGGUGACCGGCCACAUUGGGACUGAGAGACGGCCCAGACUCCUACGGGGGGCAGCAGUGGGGAAUAUUGCACAAUGGGCGGAAGCCUGAUGCAGCAACGCCGCGUGCGGGAUGACGGCCUUCGGGUUGUAAACCGCUUUCGCCUGUGACGAAGCGUGAGUGACGGUAAUGGGUAAAGAAGCACCGGCUAACUACGUG